GGGCCUGUAGCUUAGAGGAAAAGCGUUAGUAUGGCAUACUAAAGAUCACGGGUUCGAGUCCCGUCAGGUCCACCA
rnacentral:tRNA from 3 species